rnacentral:rRNA from 1 species
UGCAGUCGAGCGGUAACAGAUCCAGCUUGCUGGAUGCUGACGAGCGGCGGACGGGUGAGUAAUGCAUAGGAAUCUGCCCGGUAGUGGGGGAUAACCUGGGGAAACCCAGGCUAAUACCGCAUACGUCCUACGGGAGAAAGGGGGCUUCGGCUCCCGCUAUCGGAUGAGCCUAUGUCGGAUUAGCUAGUUGGUGAGGUAACGGCUCACCAAGGCCACGAUCCGUAGCUGGUCUGAGAGGAUGAUCAGCCACAUCGGGACUGAGACACGGCCCGAACUCCUACGGGAGGCAGCAGUGGGGAAUAUUGGACAAUGGGGGGAACCCUGAUCCAGCCAUGCCGCGUGUGUGAAGAAGGCCCUCGGGUUGUAAAGCACUUUCAGCGAGGAAGAACGCCUAGCGGUUAAUACCCGCUAGGAAAGACAUCACUCGCAGAAGAAGCACCGGCUAACUCCGUGCCAGCAGCCGCGGUAAUACGGAGGGUGCAAGCGUUAAUCGGAAUUACUGGGCGUAAAGCGCGCGUAGGUGGCUUGAUAAGCCGGUUGUGAAAGCCCCGGGCUCAACCUGGGAACGGCAUCCGGAACUGUCAAGCUAGAGUGCAGGAGAGGAAGGUAGAAUUCCCGGUGUAGCGGUGAAAUGCGUAGAGAUCGGGAGGAAUACCAGUGGCGAAGCGGCCUUCUGGACUGACACUGACACUG